CGCGUAGGCGGCCGCCUAAGUCAGACGUGAAAUCCCUCGGCUCAACCGGGGAACUGCGUCUGAUACUGGGUGGCUUGAAUUCGGGAGAGGGAUGCGGAAUUCCAGGUGUAGCGGUGAAAUGCGUAGAUAUCUGGAGGAACACCGGUGGCGAAGGCGGCAUCCUGGACCGAGAUUGACGCUGAGGCGCGAAAGCCAGGGGAGCAAACGGGAUUAGAUACCCCGGUAGUCCUGGCCCUAAACGAUGAGUGCUUGGUGUGGCGGGUAUCGAUCCCUGCCGUGCCGAAGCUAACGCAUUAAGCACUCCGCCUGGGGAGUACGGUCGCAAGGCUGAA
rnacentral:rRNA from 1 species